GAUGAACGCUGGCGGCGUGCCUAAUACAUGCAAGUCGAGCGAACGGACGAGAAGCUUGCUUCUCUGAUGUUAGCGGCGGACGGGUGAGUAACACGUGGAUAACCUACCUAUAAGACUGGGAUAACUUCGGGAAACCUUAGCUAAUACCGGAUAAUAUUUUGAACCGCAUGGUUCAAAAGUGAAAGACGGUCUUGCUGUCACUUAUAGAUGGAUCCGCGCUGCAUUAGCUAGUUGGUAAGGUAACGGCUUACCAAGGCAACGAUGCAUAGCCGACCUGAGAGGAUGAUCGGCCACACUGGAACUGAGACACGGUCCAGACUCCUACGGGAGGCAGCAGUAGGGAAUAUUCCGCAAUGGGCGAAAGCCUGACGGAGCAACGCCGCGUGAGUGAUGAAGGUCUUCGGAUCGUAAAACUCUGUUAUUAGGGAAGAACAUAUGUGUAAGUAAAUGUGCACAUCUUGACGGUACCUAAUCAGAAAGCCACGGCUAACUACGUG
rnacentral:rRNA from 1 species